rnacentral:rRNA from 1 species
GCAGCCUGAUGCAGCCAUGCCGCGUGUGUGAAGAAGGCCUUCGGGUUGUAAAGCACUUUCAGUCAGGAGGAAAGGUUAGUAGUUAAUACCUGCUAGCUGUGACGUUACUGACAGAAGAAGCACCGGCUAACUCCGUGCCAGCAGCCGCGGUAAUACGGAGGGUGCGAGCGUUAAUCGGAAUUACUGGGCGUAAAGCGUACGCAGGCGGUUUGUUAAGCGAGAUGUGAAAGCCCCGGGCUCAACCUGGGAACUGCAUUUCGAACUGGCAAACUAGAGUGUGAUAGAGGGUGGUAGAAUUUCAGGUGUAGCGGUGAAAUGCGUAGAGAUCUGAAGGAAUACCGAUGGCGAAGGCAGCCACCUGGGUCAACACUGACGCUCAUGUACGAAAGCGUGGGGAGCAAACAGGAUUAGAUACCCUGGUAGUCCACGCCGUAAACGAUGUCUACUAGAAGCUCGGAACCUCGGUUCUGUUUUUCAAAGCUAACGCAUUAAGUAGACCGCCUGGGGAGUACGGCCGCAAGGUUAAAACUCA